AGGACGAACGCUGGCGGCGUGCUUAACACAUGCAAGUCGAGCGGUAAGGCCUUUCGGGGUACACGAGCGGCGAACGGGUGAGUAACACGUGGGUGAUCUGCCCUGCACUUCGGGAUAAGCCUGGGAAACUGGGUCUAAUACCGGAUAUGACCUCCUAUCGCAUGGUGGGUGGUGGAAAGAUUUAUCGGUGCAGGAUGGGCCCGCGGCCUAUCAGCUUGUUGGUGGGGUAAUGGCCUACCAAGGCGACGACGGGUAGCCGACCUGAGAGGGUGACCGGCCACACUGGGACUGAGACACGGCCCAGACUCCUACGGGAGGCAGCAGUGGGGAAUAUUGCACAAUGGGCGAAAGCCUGAUGCAGCGACGCCGCGUGAGGAUGACGGCCUUCGGGUUGUAAACCUUCUUUCAGCAGGACGAAGCGCAAGUGACGGUACCUGCAGAAGAAGCACCGGCUAACUACGUGCCAGCAGCCGC
rnacentral:rRNA from 1 species